ensembl:lncRNA
AUAUAUAUAUAUAUAUAUUCAUUCAUUCAUUCAUUCAUUCAUUCAUUCAUUCAUUCAUUCAUUCAUUCAUUCAUUCAUUCAUUCAUUCAUUCAUUCAUUCAUUCAUUCAUUCAUUCAUUCAUUCAUUCAUUCAUUCAUUCAUUCAUUCAUUCAUUCAUUCAUUCAUUCCAAAUUCUGCAAGUUGUUUCAUAACAACUUCAUGACAUCCAGAUACUGUCUACAGUCAGUGUACUUUCCCAUCAUCAGUAAAGUGUACAUAUUUUAAGUGUACACUAGAAGUUUGUGAAUUAGUUAUUCUUAAUUUUAAGAUGAAGUGAGAGCCAUGAUAAUGAAGGAACAUCAGUAGAGGAGCAAACAGAUCUUUUGUAGAAUCCAGUCCAUGUGUUUGUAGUUUCUCUAUUUCUUUCUGUCUGUUUGUGGACUGUAUAGAAACUGCUGUUGUGUGGAUGUUUUCUGGCCAGGGUGGCAUCAUUAACUGCGGAGCAGGAAGUGUUGAUAAGACUCCACCCUGACAGCAAUGUCUGUGUGCUGGAAAAUUGCACACACUGUGGAACGAGGGGAUGACGGCUGGUCAUCACAGUGGCAUCGGAGGCCUUCAACACAGAUAUGUCCUGCUGUGCAGGAUCAUGUGAGAGGAGGCCACAGUAUUGUAAUGCACAGAAACACUGUGUGUGUUUGAAUAGAUGAGCAUUACUAGCAGAUUUGCACUUUCAUUUUAGUUUUUUGCCUUUUUUAUUUGCUUUUAAAAAAAGUACCCAAAAAAUACCUACUGUUCAUUGUCAGAGCAUUAUGAGAUGAGCGAAUGAAAUUCAGACAAACUGCAAAAUUCUUUUUUUUUUGAGGUGUCAAGAGGAAAAAGUAUUUAAUGUCUGCUUCAGAAUUUCUUCAAUGUUUGCAUUUGUAGUAUUGGAGAAUGAAUCUUGUUCCUUUCAGACAGCAAAUUAACUUAUGAGUAUGUGAAGCUAUGAGAUUGAGGGGUCACUGAAAGGUACAAAUAAACUAGAAGUUUCUCUACAUUGUAAAGAUAUUGUUAUAGUAAAAAAAAAAAAAAAAAUCCUAUUUAUUCAGGGUGUGUGAUUACUUUGAAUAAAACUUUCUUCUUUUUUAACACUCGUAUAAUCUAUGUGCUCCUCCAAAAAUACUUCAAACAAGAACAAAGAGAGCUUGAGUUUAAGACUAAACAGACAUGUGCACCCCAACUUGUGCAAAGUAGCAGAAGCAAGUUGACUGGGCUUUAAUGGUGGUAAAUGUGCUGUUUGUUCUGGUACGUAGCUGUGUUAGUCACACUAUGUGCAGCUCUACUCUAAUGUGUUGCAGGUACUGACUGUUUACAUCUGUGUAAAUAUUCUCAUCUGUUCAUGUGCGUGCAAUGGUCAAUAAACAGAAGCCUGUGCUUUUGAUUAAAUAA